rnacentral:lncRNA from 1 species
CUACUCAUUUUUUAAUUUAAUCUAAUUUUUUUCUCUUUUAUUAUAAAAAUUUAAUAAUUUAAUUAAUUAUUUUAAUAAAUUUAGUUAUAAAAAUUAUAUGAAGUAUAUGAUAACAUAGUUAGUUAAUUCGCGAAUUAUUUGUAAAUUUUUGAAGAAAUGAAUUAAACGGACUUAUUCGUAUUUUUCCAAAAUAUUCGAAAAAUAUAUAUUUUCUUGAUAAAAAAAUACUUAUUCGUGAAUAAUUCGCGCGCGCCAAAUUAUUCGG